rnacentral:lncRNA from 1 species
AUGGUUGGACACACAUGGAUCCACAGCUUGUUAAUAGUGACAGGGCUUCAGUUCACAGGAGCUGCUUUGAUCAGACGUGGACACGACGUCUCUUUCCCUUGUAACAAUCUGAUCCCUGAUCAGAGUCAGUGUGACGCCACCGUCUGGAUCUACAGUGUCUCAGGAUCAGCAUCAGUGGAGCUGGUUACACAUGGGGAGAUUAAAGAAAACGAUGCAUCUAAAUCCAACAGACUGAGUUUAACAGAGAACUGUUCUCUGGUCAUAAAGCAGGUCACAGAUCAGGAUGCUGGUCGUUACACCUGCAGACAGUUUAAAUCAGGACGACAACAAGGUGUAGAUGCUGCUGUUGACUUGUCUGUUGUUACCUUGACUCAACAUGAACACGAUAAUAAGGUGACGUUAAACUGCCGCGUGUUGACAAGAAGGUGGAAGACCUGCAGAGCAAUGUGGCUGUUUGAGGAUAAAGACCUGGAAAAGACUUCAAUAAAGUCAUCAGAGUCUCUCUGUGACGCUGUUGUUACUUUUAGUAGAAGUUCCUUCUAUUCAUCGCGGUCCAUUACUUCAUUCAAGUGUGAAGUGAGAGAUGAUCACAAUCAUCAAAGCUCCACCUUCAACCUUCAGCCUCCGAAUGCAGCAACAGCAGCGACUGAAUCCUCCGUUCUAAGCAGCACAGCAGCAGGUGAAGAACGUUGUGAAGUGAUGAACACUGAUUUUCUGCAGAUGAUGAGAAUGAGGUGGUUUCUGACCUGUGUCUGA